GCGCAGCAGUCGCGAAACCUUUGCAAUACACGCAAGUGUGACAGGGUCAUCCCGAGUGCCGACCGCUGAGGUUGGCUUUUACCCAGUCUAGAAAGCUGGGGGAAUAAGGAGAGGGCAAGUCUGGUGUCAGCCGCCGCGGUAAUACCAGCUCUCCGAGUGGUGUGGACGUUUAUUGGGCCUAAAGCAUCCGUAGCUGGCUGAACAAGUCCCCUGUUAAACCCACCGAUUUAAUCGUUGGCUUGCGGGGGAUACUGCUCGGCUAGGGGACGAGAGAGGCAGACGGUAUUCCCGGGGUAGGGGUGAAAUCCUAUAAUCCCGAGAAGACCACCAGUGGCGAAGGCUGUCUGCUAGAACGCGCCCGACGGUGAGGGAUGAAAGCUGGGGGAGCGAACCGGAUUAGAUACCCCCGUAGUCC
rnacentral:rRNA from 1 species